rnacentral:rRNA from 1 species
GACAGAGGUUGCAAACGUUGUUCGGAAUUACUGGGCAUAAAGCGCACGUAGGUGGUCCGCUAAGUCGAUUGUGAAAUUCCCCGGCUCAACCGGGGAACGGCACUCGAUACUGGCGGGCUUGAGGUCCGGAGGGGUGAGUGGAACUCCUGGUGGAGCGGUGAAAUGCGUAGAUAUCAGGAGGAACACCGGUGGCGAAAGCGGCUCACUGGCCGGAAUCUGACACUGAGGUGCGAAAGCUAGGGUAGCAAACGGG